rfam:Pan troglodytes isolate Yerkes chimp pedigree #C0471 (Clint) chromosome 13, whole genome shotgun sequence.
GCUGGGCACGGUGGUGGGUGCCUGUAAUCCCAGCUACCUGGGAGGCUGAGGCAGGAGAAUUGCUUGAACCUGGGAGGCUGAGGUUGCAGUGAGCCGAGAUCAUGCCACUGCACUCCAGCACAGGCAACACAGCGAGACUCCGUCUCAA